GCGCCCGUAGCUCAGCUGGAUAGAGUGUCGCCCUCCGAAGGCGAAGGUCACAGGUUCGAAUCCUGUCGGGCGCGCCA
rnacentral:tRNA from 1 species